GAGGAGUAUAGUCUGAGGGCAAAGCGGAGUAUAAAGACAACGCAUUGUGUCAGAUUUUUUUUUUUUUUUUCAUUUUAAUGUUAAUUCUGAUAAUCGCAUCAUAAGAAAUAACGGUCAUAUUGGAGUUAAGCUUUGUGGCAUGCUUUAGGACCCCAAGACACUGUUUAUGCGCUCAGGAUAGUUAUGGAAAAUUCUGGUUCUCAUCAGAGCCAAGGCAUUUUCUUUUGUUUUCUGUUUAACUCCUCUGAUUAGUUUGACAGGAAAAACAAUAUUUAUAGGGAAAGGAAGUAUCAAACCUCAGCGCAGCCUGUGUGUGUGUGUGUGUGUGUGUGUGUGUGUGUGUGUGUGUGUGUGUGUGUGUGUGUGUGUGUGUGUGUGUGUACGUCUGUGUAUAUCUGUUCCUGCUGGAUGAAAGCUACCAGAAGCUGGAGCUGCAGAUUUUCUUCGAACUGGAGCAGGUCCAGGGAGAACCAUUUUAGGUAUGAUUUGAUAAAACAACCACAACAAAAUGGAGAACAAAAGGUGGAGAAAACCAAACUGGACAGAGGAGCAGAGCCUGGGAUCACAAAGAGGAACAAAGAGGCAGACCAGCACCAGCCUGGAAUGUGAGCAGCUCUGGUACCUGCUGCAAUCAGAAGCUAGAGAGUAGAUAGCAGAACACCUGUUAACUUCUCCACAGACAUGUGGGUGUAGAUGACGAUUUAGGCUAUGGCUGCUGACGUCAUCAUGUACAAUACAACAAAUACUUAUUCACCUCAUUUACAUCUUCCUUCUGUGUAUAUAGUGUUUAGAUUAUUGUACUGUGUCUUGUCUACAGUGUGUAUUUAUUUAUAUAUAUUUAUUUCAACUCUGUUGUUUUCAAAUAUUUAUUUUUGAAAGCAUUAUACAGUCUGAAAAUGUUUAAAUAAUUCUGUACUAUAUCAUUUGUAAAUAUUUUCACUUAUAUUCAGUUAUUCUAUAUUGUUUCUAUUAUUUAUUUCUCCUUCCUAAUAUUACCUUAUAAGAGGUGCACCUUUAAUCUGUCCUGCCACUGAAACUAUUUAAUUUUCCCCUAAGGGGAUGAUAAAGUUUAUCUUAUCUCUAUAUAUUAAUAAUUUUAUGAUUGUUAUUGAAGUUUAUGUGCUCAUUUAUAUGACUGUUCAGGGGUGGAACCCUGCACAAUUGAGCUGGUAGUGUCUUAUUAACUCACUGUUGUCCAUUGUACAGAGAAUAUCUCUCCUAUCUCUCUGCCUUUCCACCAUCUUCCCUGCUUAAGAAACUCUUAGGCUCUGAAAUAAUCACUUUUUAAAUGCUUAUUGUGACAGGAAACUGACACUGCACGUCACCCUGAAUGCACCAGCCCCAUGGUGCCAAAUUGUGGGGGCAUCAUCCUAAAUUUAACUUAACUUAAAUUUCAACUUAAAUUUACUAUAACUGCUAUUAAAGUCCAGGGCCCGUAUUCUCAAAGAUUCUCAGAGUCUUCUUAGAGAGAUCCUAACUUAGCCUAAAAAUUCCUGCUAAGGAGUCUGAGCUUAAGAGCGAUUCAACUGCUGAGAGCGACGCUGCCCAAAGAGACGACAGAAAUUCCUAUCUUAGUGAGAACGUGUGGUUGACUUCAUUGCUAGGUGUGACGCUAUUGUCUAAGAGUCGUGAUUGGUUGUUGCAAAAAUAAAAAUAUAAAACAAAAUGCACUCCUAGUAUUAGAGAGAAAUUAACUGAUCAUAGAAUUUAGACAAGAUUUAGAAAUGUGUAAGUCAUAAUAAUGAAACUUAGUAUACUUAAAUCAGUUGUCAAACAGUAUCAAAAUGUUUGAACGCACCUUAUUUACAUGCUCAUCAUUAUUUUUGAAUGUGAGCAGCUCUGGUAUCUGCUGCAAUCAGAAGCUAGAGAGGAGAUGCAGCACACCAGAGAACUUCUCCACAGAUGGGGAGCUUGUAGAUGACCAUUUAGGCUCAGGCUGCUGACAUAAUCAUGUAUAAUACAUCAAAUACUUAUUCACCUCAUUUACAUCUUCCUUCUAUGUCCACAGUGUUUAGAUUAUUUUACUUAAUCUUCUGUAGAGUUUGCAUUUAUAUAUAUAUAUAUUGUUUUUUUUUGUUUGUUUUAUUCAACUUCUUAACAUUUUUUCAAAUGUAUUUUUGAAAACAUUUUUUAGUCUGUAAAUGAUAUUUAAAUUCUUCUGUACAAUACUGUUUGUAGAUUUAUUCACUCUUUAUUCAUGGUUAUUCAUUAUUGUUUGUAUCAUUUAUUUAUCCCUUCUAAUAUUGCCUUACUAGAGGUGCACCUUUACCCUGUCCUGCUGCUGAAACUGUUUAAUUUCCCCCUAGAGGGAUGAUAACGUUUAUCUUAUCUCUAUAUUAAUAAUUGUAUGAUUGUUACUGAAGUUUAUGUAUUCAUUUACUCGACUGUCUAGUGGGCUGAUCCUUGCAUCUUAUUAUUUCACAGUUGUUCAUUGUACAGGGAAUAUGUCUUCUGUCUCUUGGUCAUUCCACCAUCUUCUCUGCUUGAGACAUUCUUAAGCUCACUAAGAGUCCUCCUCACGACUCUUAACAUUUGCUCACUUUAAAAGCUCUCUUUAGGUCUAAGGUGUUUUGUGAAUAACUUUUAUCUAAAUAUCGAAAUUUCUAAGAAAAAUCUUAGAAUUUAAGAAAUUCUGAGAUUUUUCUUAAAAUUAGGUCACUAAGAGCUACUUUUAGUCUCAGGUUUCUUUGUGAAUACACGCCCAGAUCUAACUUCAACUGAGAAUCUGUAAGACUUGAAAAUAAAUUUUCACAAAUGCUCUCCAUCCAAUCUGACUUGAGCUUUAACUGGAAUGGGCAAAAAAUGUAAGUCUCUUGAUGUGUAGAGGUUUUUGCUGUAAUAACAGUAAAAGGUGGCCUUUAAGGUAUUAAUCUAGGAUCUGCAUGCAGAUUCACAUCACAAUUUGUAAAUAUUUAUUUGUAAAGAUGUGAAAACAAUAUGUCAUUUGACUUCUGCUUUAUAACAUAACAUAACAUAACUAACAUAAUAAAAUAAAGUGAGGUUUGUGGUUGUAAUGUAAAAUAUUGAGAAAAAGGUCAAGGGGUUUGAAUACUUCCAAAAGGCAAUGUAGGCCUUCUGAAGAUAUACAUAUUCACACUAAUAAUGAGAGUUGUAAAUUUGAACAGACAGAUGAAACCUAAUAACUAAUAUGGGCUUUCAAGCAGAAUGAAGAUCGCCAGAAAGCCUGUUUCUACAUAAGCCUUUUUUGACUAACAUCCCUGAACUGGUAGGAAACCAAUCACCAAAAUGAGAAUGAUACUUGAUUUCACAAUCGUACAAAAGCCAAAAAGGUUGUCAACCAUGAAUGAACUCUUUAUUUUAAGACACAGCAUGCUCUGUGCUCCUAAACCAGCACCAACCUCACGCUCUGGCUCCAACAAAGCAGCACAUCAUCUGAUAAUUGUGUGAAUGUGGAGGCUAAUUUGCAUUACCGGUGGGACUGAUUCUCUCAGAUGUACGGCACCUAGAUUUAUUCAGUAUUCAGUCUAAUUUCAAACAGCCAAAUGGGAACAACAGCCUUGGCUUGAUUUCUUUUAAGCCUCUAAUCUCUCUUUCCUCUUAAUUUAGCCGGGAGCUUCAAUCACAGUUCCUUUACAAAUCUGACCGAGUGGGUGUUCAUGUGUGAGACUUCUAUCCUAUGAAAAUCUCAUAAUUCCAUACUGGUGCACUUCGUGGUUAAUUUCAAACUAAAACUAAUCUCAUUCUGCAUGCAUUACACAAGUUUUUUACUGUACCUUCAUAAAUUUCACUGCUUGCUUCUCUUUAAGGUUUUAUGUGAUAUGCUUCUCACCAGAUGAGUCUUUUGUUUGUUGCCUAUUUGAGACAUCACAGAUGUUGUCACCUUCUGUUAAGAAACCAUAAAAAUAGAAUUUUUUUAGCACUUCUUAACUGGUGCAAUUCUUCAUUUUGUUUUUCAUCUAAGCUCUAGCACAACGCUCUUAUCAAUUCAUUUUUGAUAAGAUUUAUUUUGUGUUCAUACCCUGUACCAGGACUCUCCACCUAGUAGACAUAGAGAAUAGCCUCACUCAAAAUGUUUUAAAUCAUCUUUAUCAAUGAAACAAAUGUGAUAUUCAGUUUUAAAAACAUGUACAAAGGAUAUUUCUGCAAGUCCAGGUAGACAACAUGCAUUUACAUUUUGAAUGUGACAAACUAAUAGUGGCUGAAAAUUAAAGAAAAUAGAAUGGCAAUGGCAAAAUGAACUCACUUUUUACCAUUCUUUGAUUUUUUUUAAUAUAAUUUAUAAAAAUGUACUUGUCCUAAGCUUCAUAGCAUCUACCACUGUACAUGGACUCUUCACAUACCAACAUUUCCUUAUUGCCUUGCUCAUUACUGUUAGAAAGGUGUUGUCUUAUUAGUUCAUUCCUUUGUAUUAAGUUUAGAAUUAUUCUUGCUAAGUCUGCUAGAUUUUACUGCUGGGUUUCUUUGUAUCUCAGUUAAGCUUGUGUUAAUUACUCUCUCUCCCUGAGCUUCCCUGCUUUCCUUCUGCCUCAGCUGUUACUCAUUAUCUCCUGAUUGCCUCAUCUGCAUCCUAUGUCAUUCUCCACACUUCCCUCAGUAUUAAACUUUUCAAAGUUUAUUGCUGGUUUUCUAUUGGACUGCCGAAUGUUCCAUUGCUCUGUUUCACUGCCUGUUUCAAUCUUUGUUGCUGGCUUUGCUCCCAGACCUGUCCUAAUUGUGAUUCCCCCUGUAAGUCUCCUUUGUUAUUUGUUAAAAAACACUGAUGUAAUUCAGUCUUCACUUGGAUCCUUCACAAACCUACACAAACAUGACAGCUAAACAAAAAGCAAAUAAGAGCCAUUGAAGAAGUAAAUGAUAUACCAGUCGAUACAAACAUCUUGGGUACAUAUAUUCAUAUGUUGACAUAGCUUGGUCUCGAGCUCUCCUUUGGUGGCAACUCUUUAGGUUACCCUGUAUCUUUUCUACUGUACUUCAGCAUCCUCAAAUUAGCGUCACAAGAUCUAUAUGCCAAUCUUUCCUAUUCUGAGAGAAUUUAAUAGGCCCUGUAGGUCAACUACCCUACCUUUAGGUCUUUAUUUCAUGCACUGUAUUUCCACCUUACAAAAUCAAAACUCAAACCUACAAAAAAAAUAUUCAAAUGCACAAUCUAAAAACAAAAAUAUAUUUUUCACUGCAGAAACAGUUGUUGAUUUUUUUUUUAUCAAGAACAUUCUGUUCACAGUAAUGGUCAAUGUUUCAGGUUAAAUAUACAGUUGAGAGCAUAAAUCAUUCAUAUCCAUUUCAAUCAAUCAUAGUUUGAUUCUGAUAGGAUAUGAGAGAAGCAUUUCUGAAAAUAUAACAAAAUAAGGUAAAAGAAUUGUCAGUUUUGAAAAAUAUAUUUAUCUGUUUUUGAUUUUUUUUUACAUUUUAUUUUAAAAAUAGCAUAAAAUUGUUUAUACCCUUCUUAAUAAUAGGUGAAAAUAUCUCUUUUGGCAUUGUAGCAAUCAAACCCUUCUUAUCAUCACUGAUCAGCUUGUUGCAUGUUUUCACUGGUAUUUUGACAAUUUCUCUUUGGUAAUGAGCUCCAAGUCUCUGAGGGUGAAAGGCCUCCUGGCCAUCACCCUAAUCUUUAGCUCCCUUUCCAGAUCUCUGUUAGACUCAAGACCCUGGCUGGGCUGCUCCUAAAUAAUAAUAAUACAGCCAGAAGAAACAAGUUGGUAAAAUAAAAAAAUUAUUUUAAGCCUAAAUCUGUCAGGGUUAUGAAUAAUUUUGUCCCUAACUGUGGUCGAUGCAGCAUUAUGUCCACUUAUCAGACAGAUUUUAAUAGCAAUUCUCUCCUGACAAUAAAAUAGCAAUUCAAAGAUUUAACAAUCAUAUUAGUUCCAAGUUGUUAUUUGAUAUUACCAUUAUUUCUGAUAUUCAUAAGGUGCUCUCCGUUUUUGGCUGACUGGAGACCACAAGGCAUUUGAACAGCUUUUCACCGUUGUGACAACUAUGCAUAAAAGGCUUGCAAAAUGCAUUGAAACUGCAUGACUUUUGUUACUUAUAACAAAAUCCAGAAAAUGUCCAACAACACAGUAGUUUUGCAUACUGUUUGUGAUAGAGGGUUUUGACUUGUCUUUUUAUGAAUGUUUAGCUAAAACAGAUGGUUUAAGAGAGUCCUUAUGACUCCAACCACUCCCUCUUUCUCUUUCUUAGGAGGACUUAGUGAAGUCUUAGUGAAGGAAGUUCUUGGGAAUAAUGUUUGUUCUUAUGUCUUUUGAAUAUCUUUUUGUCACAUUUCUUUGAUGUACCCCACCCAACUGCU